GCAAGCUGAGCCUGGUGCUUGCACCGGGUGGAUGAGUGGCGAACGGGUGAGUAACACGUGAGUAACCUGCCCCUGACUUCGGGAUAAGCCCGGGAAACUGGGUCUAAUACCGGAUACGACUGCCGGACGCAUGUCUGGUGGUGGAAAGUUUUUUCGGUUGGGGAUGGGCUCGCGGCCUAUCAGUUUGUUGGUGAGGUAAUGGCUCACCAAGACGACGACGGGUAGCCGGCCUGAGAGGGCGACCGGCCACACUGGGACUGAGACACGGCCCAGACUCCUACGGGAGGCAGCAGUGGGGAAUAUUGCACAAUGGGGGAAACCCUGAUGCAGCGACGCAGCGUGCGGGAUGACGGCCUUCGGGUUGUAAACCGCUUCAGCAGGGAAGAAGCGCAAGUGACGGUACCUGCAGAAGAAGUACCGGCUAACUACGUGCCAGCAGCCGCGGUAAUACGUAGGGUACGAGCGUUGUCCGGAAUUAUUGGGCGUAAAGAGCUCGUAGGUGGUUGGUCACGUCUGCUGUGGAAACGCAACGCUUAACGUUGCGCGUGCAGUGGGUACGGGCUGACUAGAGUGCAGUAGGGGAGUCUGGAAUUCCUGGUGUAGCGGUGAAAUGCGCAGAUAUCAGGAGGAACACCGGUGGGAAGGCGGGACUCUGGGCUGUAACUGACACUGAAGGAGCGAAAGCAUGGGGAGCGAACAGGAUUAGAUACCUGUAGUCCAUGCCGUAAACGUUGGGCACUAGGUGUGGGGGGCAUUCCACGUUCUCCGCGCCGUAGCUAACGCAUUAAGUGCCCCGCCUGGGGAGUACGGUCGCAAGGCUAAAACUCAAAGGAAUUGACGGGGGCCCGCACAAGCGGCGGAGCAUGCGGAUUAAUUCGAUGCAACGCGAAGAACCUUACCAAGGCUUGACAUACACCGGACCGUCCUGGAAACAGGUCUUCUUCUUUGAAGCUGGUGUACAGGUGGUGCAUGGUUGUCGUCAGCUCGUGUCGUGAGAUGUUGGGUUAAGUCCCGCAACGAGCGCAACCCUCGUUCUAUGUUGCCAGCAUGUGAUGGUGGGAACUCAUAGGAGACUGCCGGGGUCAACUCGGAGGAAGGUGGGGAUGACGUCAAAUCAUCAUGCCCUUUAUGUCUUGGGCUUCACGCAUGCUACAAUGGCUGGUACAGAGAGAGGCGAACCCGUGAGGGCAAGCGAAUCCCUUAAAGCCAGUCUCAGUUCGGAUCGUAGUCUGCAAUUCGACUACGUGAAGUCGGAGUCGCUAGUAAUCGCAGAUCA
rnacentral:rRNA from 1 species